rnacentral:rRNA from 1 species
UACGUAGGGUGCGAGCGUUGUCCGGAAUUAUUGGGCGUAAAGGGCUCGUAGGCGGUUUGUCGCGUCGGGAGUGAAAACUCAGGGCUUAACCCUGAGCCUGCUUCCGAUACGGGCAGACUAGAGGUAUGCAGGGGAGAACGGAAUUCCUGGUGUAGCGGUGAAAUGCGCAGAUAUCAGGAGGAACACCGGUGGCGAAGGCGAUCACCUGGGGUUGUUCUGACGCUGAGGAGCGAAAGCUAGGGAGCAAACGGG